rnacentral:misc_RNA from 1 species
GUGAAUUUGAGUGCUUCUAUACGAAGGCUCGACCUCCACUUCUAACACUGUGCAUUACAAUUUGGCUCGGUUUGACUUUUACUAGUCGGGCCAGCCUCAUUUAUCUUACAAACUUCAGUUAAAGAAUGUAACAAACCUAAAACAAAAAA